AUUGUGUAGGUCAAAGGGUUGGAUGUGGACGCCCUUCACAUCUCUCACAUUCAGUUGAACCAAGCCCAGAAACAGAGACGUCGUACAUACCGGGCACAUGGAAGAAUUAAUCGUGACGUAGUUGUCAAAAGCGCAAAAGGCGCGCGCCUAGGCGCUCGGGCGCAGCAAAGCGAGUCAAUAGCUCCUGGUGGUAGCCUAGGCGCAAAAAUGGGCUUUUUCUGUAAAAACGGUGGUCAGGCGCAAAAGGCGCGCGCCUAGGCGCAAAAAUGUGCUUUUUCUGUAAAAACGGUGGUCAGGCGCAAAAGGCGCGCGCCUAGGCGAGGGGCGCAGUGAAAAAAACAAGCAAAAACGACCAGAAAAAAACAAGGGCAGAUUCACUAAAAACGAGUGCAAAAAAAGACCUCACGCGGGCCCAGUUUUUUGGAGCUGCAUUCAUGUCUGCGGGACGUGCGGGCACGCACGAGUUCAACUAAAUUUCAGUUCAGAAACUCAUUUCGGAGCUGCAUUCGUGUCCAGAGAGGCUCGAUUCUUCAUUACAAGGUUCAAUUGUUGGUAGCACUGGAUUGCGUGAAAAGGCUGCUAAUAUUAUCCACGUCGCCUGCAAAUACGUGCUUGAGAAAAAAUCAGAUGACAGCAUUCUUUUGUUACACCUUAUUCGUGUUAUUGAGGCUUUGGGGAC